CAGUCGAACGGACUCAUAUUGAAACCUAGUGAUUUAUGAGUUAGUGGCGGACGGGUGAGUAACGCGUGGAUAACCUGCCGUAUACCGGGGGAUAACACUUAGAAAUAGGUGCUAAUACCGCAUAAGCGCACGGCUCCGCAUGGGGCAGUGUGAAAAACUCCGGUGGUAUACGAUGGAUCCGCGUCUGAUUAGCUAGUUGGCGGGGUAACGGCCCACCAAGGCAGCGAUCAGUAGCCGGCCUGAGAGGGUGGACGGCCACAUUGGGACUGAGACACGGCCCAAACUCCUACGGGAGGCAGCAGUGGGGAAUAUUGCACAAUGGGGGAAACCCUGAUGCAGCGACGCCGCGUGAGUGAAGAAGUAUCUCGGUACGUAAAGCUCUAUCAGCAGGGAAGAAAAUGACGGUACCUGACCAAGAAGCCCCGGCUAACUACGUGCCAGCAGCCGCGGUAAUACGUAGGGGGCAAGCGUUAUCCGGAUUUACUGGGUGUAAAGGGAGCGUAGACGGCAGCACAAGUCUGGAGUGAAAUCCCGGGGCUUAACCCCGGAACUGCUUUGGAAACUGUGCGGCUGGAGUGCAGGAGGGGUAAGCGGAAUUCCUAGUGUAGCGGUGAAAUGCGUAGAUAUUAGGAGGAACACCGGUGGCGAAGGCGGCUUACUGGACUGUAACUGACGUUGAGGCUCGAAAGCGUGGGGAGCAAACAGGAUUAGAUACCCUGGUAGUCCACGCCGUAAACGAUGAUUACUAGGUGUCGGGGGACCAAGGUCCUCCGGUGCCGGCGCAAACGCAUUAAGUAAUCCACCUGGGGAGUACGUU
rnacentral:rRNA from 1 species